rnacentral:tRNA from 1 species
GGAGGUGCCAUAGCUUAGUAGUAAAGUAUUUGCUUUGCAUGCAGAAGGUCCCGGGUUCAAUCCUUGGCAUCUCCA